rfam:Loxodonta africana unplaced genomic scaffold scaffold_5, whole genome shotgun sequence.
GGGAACGCCCGGCCCCGCUGUAGAGGGACCAUCAGCGACCGGGCCAGAAAGAAUAAGGUCCCAC